UGAAAAUUGGACUGAUACAGAGAAGAUUAGCAUCACCCUUGCGCAAGGAUGACACACAUAUUCAUGAAGCAUUUCAUAUUAAA
rnacentral:snRNA from 1 species